UUUUUUUACAGUUUACUUUCUCAAGACUCCUUUUGGAUUACAGAGAUCAUGUUCUUCCUGUAAACUUCUAUGGAAGAAUUUAAAAUGAUUGCUAAGUCAUGUCCUGCUCUUAGGACAUGCCACUACUCUGCGACCUACUGUGCAACCUCAUAAACGGUAGCCCACCAGGCUCUGCUGUCCAUGGCAUUUCCCAGGAAUCAGGAUCAUGAGGCAAAGAAUCUGGAGUAUGGAGAGGCUGCUGGCAAGGAGAAGUGAGGAGGCUACCUUGGAGGUCCAGACGGAAUAUGGCACAUGAUUGACAGACUAAGAUGUAUUCCUGAGGAAGAAGAGGAAAUAUCUGGAAACAGAUUUGUUGUAUGUGGGGUGGGAAUGGGGAGUAUGAAGUACCCACUAAGUAGAUACUAAUAAGAAAGAGAAGAAAAAAAAAAAAGGUAAUAGAUCUGAUGUACUUACUGAGUUUGAAUUAAUGUGUCAUUUGAAAACAGAGGCUUAAAUUUCUUUUUUUGCACCACAUGGCUUGUGGGAUCUUAGUUCCCCAAUCAGGGAUUGAACCUGGACCACUACAGUGAAAGUGUUGAGUCCUAGCGACUCAACCCUAGAGAGUUCCCUUAAAAUGUUACUUUUGAAAUCACCAGCAUGUAAUAUCACCAAGUGAUAAUAUCAUCAAGAGGAAGUGUUUAGUACAGAGAUUUUCAGCUUAUUUUCAUUUGCUUUUUUCAUCCCCAUACUUUUAAGGGAUAUGAUUUACUCCAGCUAGAAACAGUGAUUCAAAUAGGUGAUGAUUCUCAGGUGGGGGUAGAAAGUACUUGUUUCACUUGAAAAAAAAUGCCCCCAUAUGAUUUUGAUAUACUGCCCUUCACUCCUUGACUUAGAGUGAGCGAUGAGGACAGCACUGUGGAAGAGGCAUCAGUAGAAAGGACGGAGUGGGCUAAGAAGUCGACUCCUCUAGGAGGGAGAGAACUUUCACAUAUGUGAAGGGACUUGAAGACAAAGGGCCGUGGUACUGAAUUCUGCAGAGAGGUUCAGGAGCAUGAUUCUUUAAGUAAAACUGGUUUAUCGCAGUAUAGUACUGGGCAUAAAAUAAGAACACAGUUAAAUAUUUGGGUGGAUGAUUUAUGGAGAACUCUUUUGUGCUUGCAACACUUCACAGGCCUUAAAUACCCAAGGCAGACAGGAUGUGUAAUAAUUGUACUGCUUUGGGCUCCACAAUCAGUGUGGGUUUUUAAAAUUCUGUUUCUCUGUCCACGACCAGUGACUUAGAAAUAUGCUCGCUAGGGCACCAUAGUCCUGAUCUCAGCGCAAAGCGAUGUUUGAGGCUGUUCGCCAGAACUAGUGUCAGUUGGCACUUGCUGUGGAUACUCCACAGGUGGCCCUCCUGACCUCUGCCAGCGAUGGCCCCCAGGAGUAAAUUGCUUGUCUUAACGAUGAUUUGGGUUGAUGGAGUGAAUAUACUUGCCUGGCAGAACAGGAAUGCCAUCAGCCUAUCUGACUUGCACGUAGUCUUUACAUUCAUAAGAGCAGCUUCUUUUAUUACUGCUGCUGUGCUUUAAAAACAACGUACAUUUCUACCAGAUCAGGACAGCAGAGUUUCCUCAGACCACGGUUUGGUGCCUGCGUGGGAUGCUCAGAGCAUGCUCAGCAGCAUACACCGGCUUGACAUCUGGCAUCCAUGCCUCCUGUGAGAUUGGCUUCCCUCUGGCUGUGCCCUGAGAGCUUCCCCACUGGGCCCCUUCUGUCCCACAGUGUAAACAUAUCACAGGAAACGAACACGUACAGAUUCAACCUUUCCGGAAGGAACGGAGAACCCUCUCCCAGCUGGAAACCAGGGUUUCAGUGUCCAGGAAGUCCGACCAGCCUUCAGGGUAGAGGCUGUUGUCUGUGACACCUUAGUCCCUUUCUCCUUCUAAGCUUCCCACAUGCUUCCUAUAGCUUUGUUCUAAGUCAUCCAGCUGAGGAAAAUUGCUUCAGGACAUUUAAAUUGUGAAAUAAGGCUUGCUUGUCUUUUACUGUAGAUUCAUUAAUGCCAAUGGAUUUAGUUAUUUACAGUUGUAAAUUUGGCACUGUUUUUUUUUAAUCAAGGUAGGAGGCUCUCUAAAAGAAUUGAAGCAGUCUAAAGCUAAACCUGUAAAUAAUUAUUCACUUUGACUUGUUUUAAUAUGAAGAUAAAAAUAUUAAAUGGUUAAAUAUAAUAGUUACAUAAUGAGGAAGUUAAGCCCCAAAGUAAAAGUAAGAGGAAAGAAACCUUUCCACAUUUCCCUUACUGUCUUCCCAAUUCCAUUUUCACUCCAGUCUAAUGAAUGCAUUUUACAUAAAAUUCACACACUCCUUUUGCUAUCUUCCUACCACUGCAAAUAUCAGCGCAGCCCCUCUUUCAGAUCCACUUCAAGGAAAGACAGACUUGAAAGACUCUCCCCCACGGUUUUGUCUGAAGUGGCUGCCAUCCUGCGCACACACACACGGGAUCCAGUUGCUGAGCUGGGGGAAUCCCAGAGGCGAGUGGAGAGAGUGAGCAAGACCGACCGACCGACCACUUAGCCGAGUGGAUGGACGUGGUAGUUGGGGAGCACAUCUGAAGUGACCUGUUUUGCUUCAUCGUCCACAUGGAAGUAGAGAGAAGCAGUCCAGAGUGAGAAUCCUAAAAGGUAACUGCGAAGAAACCACAGAAGCCUGCAGGCUUGGAUCUGCACCUGGGGGUGGCAUGGAUUUCAAAGUCAUUAUUUAAGGUGUACUGUCUGUAGGGUGGAGGUGGACCAAAGACCUGUUUCACUGGAUACCGGCUUUAAAUCACCUUUCAUAUUUUCUUGUUGGAAAGACAACUGUUGGAGAGUCUUCUUGUUAUCAUCAGCAAAAAAAUGGAAACAGAUCAAGAUAUUAAGUGGCCAGCAGUUAAUGAUGCCAGAGUAAGGCAAGCUUUGGCAAAGGAAUUUUUCAAGACUGUGUGCUUCACCAGCCAGGAAUCAGGAAAGGCUGAACUAUCCUUUUUGUCUCAGCUGUUUCUUAAAUCAAUGCAACCCCUCCAAAUUAAAGUGAAUUGAAACAUUCAUUGCCUUUUCAACUUAAUUGAGUGCUUACUAUGUGUGAAUCACUGUACAGAAUAGGGGAUGGAAAAUGAGAGAGGCAAAUAAGAUGUGGUCCCUGCCUUGAAUGUGUUUACAAUUAGUUUCAAGACAGUUUUUUGGGGGGUUGUUUUCUGCUGCUAAGUAUGUCCCUAAAAUAGGAAGCAAUACUGGAGUGGGAUCUUCCCAACCCAGGAAUCAAACCCAGGUCUCCCACAUUGCAGGCAGAUUCUUUACCAGCUGAGUCACAAGGGAAGCCCUAUAUUUCUUUAAUACCAAGCAAAACUCUUACUGUGGGUAACUCAGGGCAUCUUAAUUCCAUUUUUUUUUUUUUUUGGUCUUCUGAUAGUUAGGACCCAAUUUAUUGAUUUAAUAUACAUUCAGUAGACUUUAGAAGUAUUAAUACAUUAUAGUUGGAGUAAAUUCGAAUGAAUCCCUUUCCCCCCUUAGGUGUGGACUGUAUAUUGGAGACAUGUACUGUGUUCGUACAUUUCUUGGGGAGCUGAGAGGUGAUUAUACCUGUUGUCUCUAUAGGCCUCCUCCUCCCAUGCCCUCGGGGCCGGCCCUUCUGAUUGUGUUAUUAGCGUACAGAAGGGAAAGGUUUGGCUCAAGCCUGCGGGUGCUGCUCCUGGACCCAAGAAAGGGCCAGGAAUGUGCAAAACAGACCCAAGCAAAGGCUCUGUAUAAGAAUUUGGCUAUUUCAGUAUUCAUUGCAUUGUUGUCUGUAUUCCAUAAGUUGGAUGACUAUAUAAUUUUUCCAAAAAGUUAUUUCUGAUCUGGGAAUAAGUCAUGAUUUUUCUGGUGUUAAGAUGCUAAUAUGACUGUAGACACAUAGUGUCUGUGACACAUUUUAGUAUGUAUGAGCCAGCAAUAGAGACAUGUCUUUGUCUUGAGUAAUGUCCACAUCUGAAUUGAAAAUAUGCCAGCUUUUUUUUUCUUCAGCAUCAUCAACAGACUUCUUAAUUAAGCUGCCAAUAUGUGCCAUCAAUAGCAUUGUGUGCUGUGUCAAAUGAAUUGUGUAAGUGCUGUUUCUCUCUAUUUAAUAAACAAUGUUGCUCCCUGUAAAA